rnacentral:rRNA from 1 species
AGUGAACGCUGGCGGCGUGCCUAAUACAUGCAAGUCGAACGGAGACUCAGUAGCUUGUUGUUCAUUCUUAGUGGCGCACGGGUGAGUAUUAUAUAGCUAACUUGCCCAUUACUUAGGGACAGCAGUUCGAAACGACUGCUACUCCAUUAUACUCUGUAUCUAUCUAGGUAGAUACGGGAAAGUUUUUCGGUAAUGGAUAGGGGUGUACCGGAUCAGCUAGUUGGUAAGGUAAUGGCUUACCAAGACUAUGACGCGUAACUGGGGUGAGGGGAUGAGCAGUCGAACUGGAACGGAGACACGGGCCAGACUUCUACGAGAAGCAGCAGAAGGGAAUAGUGGUCAAUGCGGGUAAGCCAGGAGGAGCUACGCCGCGUGGAGGACGACACUUGUCAGAGCAUAAAAUCCUUUUCUUAGGAAAGAAUUAUGACGGUACCCAAAGAAUAAGCACCGGCUAACUCCGUG